AAACUCUAGUGCUAACCCAUUCUGCAUCGGAGAGGACAUAUUGGCCAGAGUUCUAAAAGCAAAGAGCUUGGCAAGAUGAAAGGCUAGCCAAUAAGACAGAGGAAGACCCUUCAUUCCCUCGACAAGCCACUAUCUUACAGCCAGUAAUAACAACAGAUAUCUGGGGACCCUUCCACUUGCAAAUCCACUAAACAUUGGACGUAAAUGACAAUCGGAGAUCAAUGGGAUUGCUUUAUAUUGGGGUCCCUACUUUCAUGGGCUGAAGCUUGAACCAGACCUUGAUACCAAGAAGGUAUUGGCAAGAACUAGACAGUAAUCAACCCAUACGAGAACAGACGCCCAUACUGGUGUGUCUCAAGGUAAAUUCGAUAUGGAAUCAAACUGCUAACAGAAGCAGCCUAGCUUUGGUUACACUAGACCCUGAUUUCUUCAACUAUGACAGUACUAUAUUUUCUUCCACUGUUAGGUUUAUGAAAUCAAAAU